rfam:Gemmatimonas sp. SG8_38_2 WOR_8-12_16885, whole genome shotgun sequence.
GCUCGCGUAGCUCAGUGGUAGAGCGCUUCCUUGGUAAGGAAGAGGUCGCGGGUUCAAUCCCCGCCGCGAGCU